AACGCACAUUGCGCCCGCUAGUAUUCUGGCGGGCAUGCCUGUCUGAGCGUCAUUUCAACCCUCGCCCCCGGCUCUUGCUGGGAGCGGUGUUGGGGAUCGGCCGCCCGUCACUGGGAGGCCGGCCCCGAAAUAGAGUGGCGACCACGCCGUGUGCUCCUCUGCGUAGUAGUAAAUCACCUCGCAGGCGGACAGCGGUGCGGCCUGCCGUAAAACCCCCAACUCUUUCUGGUUGACCUCAGAUCAGGUAGGAAUACCCGCUGAACUUAA
rnacentral:misc_RNA from 1 species